GCUAGGCAUGGUGGCACAUGCCUGUAAUCCCAGAAGCUCGGGAGGCUGAGGCAGGAGGAUGGCAAGUUCAAAGCCAGCUUCAGCAACUU
rnacentral:sRNA from 1 species